rnacentral:rRNA from 1 species
GCGUGAAGCCCCCUCCAAGAUGAGACUUCCCACAGCGCAAGCUGGUAAGACCCCUCAUAGACGAUGAGGUUGAUAGGUUCGGUGUGGAAGCGUGGUAACACGUGGAGCUGACGAAUACUAAUCGGUCGAGGACUUAUCCAC